GUUGUAAGCGACGCUUAGUGUUAAAGGGACAGCCUCACGCUCUUUAUCAAUGCCAAACCUUUUACUGGCAGCACCUGCAAAAGUAGCACACGUUAGACUGUUAAUACAUAUAUAAAUGUGUGUGUGUGUGUGUGUGUGUGUGUGUGCAUGUGUGUGUCCUCUCACCUCGGCUUGGUAGAGCUGCAACAGGACCGGCUGGUCUGCAUGUCUACAGUAAUAAAGCACCAAGUCGGCCAGCAGGGGGAGACUCUCCACGUUACCGCGACUCACAGAGACGUCUCCGUCUUUACA